rnacentral:rRNA from 1 species
UACGGGGGGGGCAAGCGUUGUUCGGAAUUACUGGGCGUAAAGGGCGCGUAGGCGGUCCCGUCAGUCCCUUGUGAAAUCCCCCGGCUCAACUGGGGAACUGCAAGGGAUACAGCGGGGCUUGAGUUCGGGAGAGGGAAGCGGAAUUCCGGGUGUAGCGGUGAAAUGCGUAGAUAUCUGAAGGAACAUCAGUGGCGAAAGCGACUUCCUGGACCAAUACUGACGCUCAUGUGCGAAAGCGUGGGGAGCAAACAGG